rnacentral:rRNA from 1 species
AACGAACGCUGGCGGCAGGCCUAACACAUGCAAGUCGAACGGGCGUAGCAAUACGUCAGUGGCAGACGGGUGAAUAACACGUGGGAACCUUCCUCGUAGUGCGGAACAACUCAGGGAAACUUGAGCUAAUACCGCAUACGCCCCGGAGCAAUCCGGGGGAAAGAUUUAUCGCUAUGAGACGGGCCCGCGUCCGAUUAGCUAGUUGGUGGGGUAACGGCCUACCAAGGCGACGAUCGGUAGCUGAUCUGAGAGGAUGAUCAGCCACACUGGGACUGAGACACGGCCCAGACUCCUACGGGAGGCAGCAGUGGGGAAUCUUGGACAAUGGGCGAAAGCCUGAUCCAGCCAUGCCGCGUGAGUGAAGAAGGCCUUAGGGUUGUAAAGCUCUUUUGGCAGGGACGAUAAUGACGGUACCUGCAGAAUAAGCCCCGGCAAACUUCGUGCCAGCCGCCACAGUAA